UCCUCGUUCGCCCGCCCCGCUCAACACCAUGUGUUCAUCCAAGUCACAGUUUAGCUCCACCCCUCCUGCGUCGCACCACACCGCCAACCAGGUUCCCCCUCUACCUCUCAUCCGUUGCCCAGAGUGCAACGCCGGAUUCGUAGUGUGGUUUGUCUCUGGGACUGUAGAAAACCCAGGAAGGCACUUCUACAAGUGCGAAAGGCAUGGAUUCGGCCGCUGCAGGUUUUGAAAGUGGGAGAACAAGUACAUUCAGUACUUCAGCGCCCGUUGGGGACACCUCAUUUCACAUGCAUCAGUCCAUCGCCAUGUAUCUCUGCUUGAAGAAAACCAAGCAUGGCUGAAGAACAUCUUUGCGCUUGGCGUCGUCAACCUGGUGGUCAUGGCAAUGAUUUGCACGCUGAAGUUCUAAGAGCGCCUGAGUCGAUGUAGGUCACCGUAUGGUUGUAGCUAGCUGUUUUUCAGAGUGCUACGUGGUUUUUAGCUGCCUGGUCGAUGUGUUUCGUGUCGUUGCAUCUUGAUGUAAGCACAGGGCCAAUCAAUAAUACACGCGAGCGUUUUCUUUUCA